GUCUGUAUGUCAAAUGUGUUGCUGAUUGGUCAAUGAAUAAAUCACUGAUUGGCAGUGGCCAGGCAGGAAGUAUAGGCGGGACUAACAGAGGAAAAUUGAGAGAACAGGAAGCUGGAGGGAGAGACACUGCGAGCCGCCAUCAGGAUAAGGAAGAUGUAAAGUACCGGUAAGCCACAAGCCACAUGGCAAGGUAUAGACUAAUAGAAAUGGAUUAAUUUAAGCUGUAAGAACAGUUAGCAAGAAGCCUGCCACGACCAUACAGUUUAUAAGCAAUAUAAGUCUCUGUGUUUACUUGAUCGGGUUUGAGCGGCUUGGGACUGGCGGGUGAGAGAGAUUUGUCCUGACUGUGGGCCAGGCAGGGAAACUCUAGCAACAAAUGGCGUCCAACGUGGUGGCAAGAGUUUCCACCUAAAACCUGAGAAAAAAGAUUCUAAAACGGAGCUAAAAACAGCUUCCUAAUUGUCUCUCUCAAAUGAGCGGCAGCUGCCGGUUUGAGCUACUGGCGAGUUGCUGGCGUGCGCGCUCAACCUGCAGUAUGGCGGGAAUGAGGCCUCUGCAAGUGGCACAUUAAGCUGUGUGGUGAAUUUAGCCUUUGCUAGUACAAAACAAAACAAAACAAAAAAAAAAAGAGGUUUCUGGGCUACACACUGCUUUGAUAAAAGCGUAGACCCACUAUUUCUGAGACUUGAUGGUUCCCAGAGCUGGCGGAACCGCCAUGUUGGGAAGCUAAAGUGGGCGGAGCCAGCAGCCACAGUGCCGUUUCAGGCUUAGAAGGCUGCAAUUUAAAGCAACAGGUUUACAAUAAGACAGAUUUAGAUGUAAUAGUGUAAAAUGUGUGUAAAAUAUACAUAGGCUUGAAAGAGACAAAAAAGGUGAUAUAUACAGUUAUAUAAACAAAUACAUGGUUUUAAAAAAUAAAGUCUUUAAAGAGACAGUAAAAUUAAUAUAAAAAAUAAGCCACGUAGAGAUGACUAUUACACAGAGAGUCUGGAUUGUGUUGUCUUUGGGAUUCUUAACUACAGAGAGAUGUUUGAUUGUAAAGGAAACUGAGUUAAACCAGUACGUAUAUUUUAAAGAUACUUUGACUUCAAAAUUUGGAUGUAAGGAUAUGUUGCUUUGGAAAAGAGUCUCUUUUGUUUCCACAGAAAGCAAGAGGCUAUGGAUUUGUUCCAGAUUAAGACACAUCAGGUUUGACCAGCCAAGACCACCUGAAAGGUCUCCGAUGACACCAUGGCCCAGAUGAUCCAACAUCCAGAACCGUUUCAAGGCAACUGGCUCAGACGAUACAGCCUCACGGACUACUCCAUGAUCCUAAAAUUUUCUUUGUUUCCCCAGAAGAAACAGCGCCCCCCUCCAGCAGGAAGUAGUAAGAGAAGCUACGCCCAAAUUCCCAAAUAUACCAAGCUGACUUUGGAGAUGUGUAAAGGUUAAAACCUUCCUUUUUAAGAAAAGAAAAGGGGAGGUGCUGUGGGAUGGUCUGUAUGUCAAAUGUGUUGCUGAUUGGUCAAUGAAUAAAUCACUGAUUGGCAGUGGCCAGGCAGGAAGUAUAGGCGGGACUAACAGAGGAAAAUUGAGAGAACAGGAAGCUGGAGGGAGAGACACUGCGAGCCGCCAUCAGGAUAAGGAAGAUGUAAAGUACCGGUAAGCCACAAGCCACGUGGCAAGGUAUAGACUAAUAGAAAUGGAUUAAUUUAAGCUGUAAGAACAGUUAGCAAGAAGCCUGCCACGACCAUACAGUUUAUAAGCAAUAUAAGUCUCUGUGUUUACUUGAUCGGGUUUGAGCGGCUUGGGACUGGCGGGUGAGAGAGAUUUGUCCUGACUGUGGGCCAGGCAGGGAAACUCUAGCAACACACUGCAGUUGAACUGUUAACACGGGCAUGCUUUCAUAAGAAAGUAAAUUCAAGAGGCAAUAGAAAAUCAAACUGUCUUUAAUAAUCUGUACAUGGCUGGGCUCUGUUCCAUUAUGAUUCGUGGCACUGAGUUUACAACAACCUUUUCUUCACACAGGUCCUCCCCAUCUCCCUUCCCAUUCAGAUCCACACCUUUUCUGUCUCUCAUUAGAAAAAAACCGGCAUCUAAGUAAUACUAGUAAAAUAAAAUAAGAUAAAAAAGAAAUGAGACGUACCAGAAUAGAACAAAAGAAACAGAAGAAAACUCACAAGAAACUGGGGGACCACACGGAUCUUCUCCCUAAAGAACUUUAGGAAUACGUGAAAGAAACAUGAACGCUAAGCAGAGGCUCCCGGCGCUUCGUCAGCUUUAGAUGUUUGCCAAGGUCUCUCACCGGUGGCAAAGUGUCUGGGUUAACCUUGUGCCUCCACUGUGCUUGCUGAGGACGAUUGCCCACAAAUGCGAACGGCAGAAUGCCCUCAUGUGACACCAUCAUUCUUGUUGCUAAAGGUGAAGCAGAACUGAAUGAAAUUCAUAGUGCCUGAGGAUUUUCAAAGAAGUUUUUCAGUUCAGGAACUGAGACAGAGUCUUACAGCUUGGGCUGUGAUCAAACUCACGAUCAACUGCUUCUGACUCCUGAGUGCUAAGAAUAGAGAGGCUUUCACCACCAGGCCUGGCUGUAUGUACAUGGUUUCUCAUGUGCGUUAUCUUAUUGAAUCUUGCUAUCAAGACUGUGUUGUGUGGCUGUUCUGAAGGAGGUUCAAGAAGGUUGGAAUGAGGAUGGACCAGGAGAAAGACAACCACGACAGCAUAGACAAGGUGCCAUGAGGCUCAGAGCUGGAAGAACCACAUCUGUUCCAAGGCAUCAGAAAAAUCCUGAGUGUGCUGACACUGAGGUGCGUGGGACCUCGAUGGAUAACUACCUGGGGAGACAAGACUGAAGACAUGCAGCUUAAGUUUGGAGAAUAGCUUGUGGUAGAGGUCAACUGGAGGAUAGCAUAUUUGACAUGAGUUGACACAAUCAAGGCCUUCAGUACCAAUGUAAGGGUUGUGAAUUCAAUUUGGAGAGGCAGAGAAAAGAAUACAAUUUAUAUUUAGUUCAUGCCAAUUGUAUUUUAGGCUGUGUUUUAAUUCCUUUCUUCACAAAAGCACUUUAAGUUAUUAUCAUUUUUAUUACUGACCAUGCUGAGGCAUAGGAAUGAAAUUACUUACUCAAGGUGUGCUGGGUAGUGUUUGUCGAUUUUAUACAUGCUUGAGUCAUUUGGGAGGAGGGACCUUCAACUGAGAAAAUGUUCCCAUCAGAUUGGCCUGUGGGGCAUUUUCUUUAUUCAUGAUUGAUGUGUGAGGGCCCAGCACACUGUGGGUGGUGCCACCAAUGGACAGGUGGUCCUGGGUUGUACAAGAGAGCAGGCUGAGCAAGCCAUGACUAUCUAAUGUUCAACAUGUUGUGGCAUGAUGGAUGGAAUCUGAUUAGUCUUUAUCAAUGACUGCAGCCAAUAUUUAUGAAGAGCUUACUACAUCAGAGAGAGUGUUAAACAGUUUUUAUGCAUAGCUAACAUUUUAUUCUGAUCACAAAUCUACAAGGUAGGCAUAAUUAUUACUUCUAUUUUAGAGAGGAUGCUCCUUCGGUGUCACAUUCUAGUAAAUCUGAGUGCCAGGUUUUGAGCUUAGUUGUUUCUUUUAAGUUUGAAGGGAAAUGUUUUCUGUGAACUGACUAGUCUCUCAGGUCAGGCAAUACUGCUGUGAGCUUUUCUUUUCUGUGCAUGUGGCCCAAUAGUGUAUGAGGCUCUUCAACUUAGCUCAUAGAUCUAAAGGAUGGAAAAUCACUAUGGAGGUGCCAGAACAUGGUGAGGGCCUGCCUUCCUUCUGUGCCACAACACUGUGGGACAUUUGUGAGGAGAGACAGAGCCGGUGUGUGUGUGUGCAGCAUGAGCUAUUUCCUGACUUUUGUGACGCUCACUAUGGAAGCACAGUAUCCCCCACAUGAAGCAAGUGCCUGGAGGACUUGCAUGCCCACUCUUCAUGUAGGACCAGGCCUGUAACCUGAGAAAUAUUUUCCUAGGUGGAGUGAAUUAGUUGAGGGACACUACUGUUGACAGGAAUGGAUGUGGGCUGUGGUUUAGGCUAUGAAAGAGUUGAGGGAUUAGGCAAGGAUAAAUGUCAGGGGAGUGGCAGGCUUAGGGCGACUCAAAGCUUUCCGUGUAGGGAGAACAUCCAACCACUCAGGCUCAAUUUCUUCCUGGAACGUUUUCUUUCUUCUCUCUUUGGGAUAUUCUAUAUGACUGGUAUUAUCACGUUUUGAUUUUCUUGGAAUGGCUCAGAGCUCAGAACUGUGAAAACUGGAGAGCUAGUGUGGACAUUACUUCCCUUUCAGUGAUGUGGACUCUUAUUACUGAAUAUUCGCUGCCCUCCAUAAUUUGAUUUUUAAUGUUGUGGCCCACCUGGAAAUAAAAAACAUGUAAUUAUCA